UCCAGUGUUUAUGGAUCUCAGAAGAAUGUUUGGUUUUUCAGUUUAUGAGAUACAGUUUAUAAUAUAAACAUAUUUACUUAGGUAGUGCUUGUUUCAUAUGAUAAAUACUGGAAUAUAGAUUUUAUUUCUUAUUUUUAUUUUGACAAAAACAGAUUUUAUUACAUUCUAGUUAUUUUUUAGAACAUCGACCUUCUUGUGUUAGGAUACCGCACUAUUAAAAUUGUA
rnacentral:lncRNA from 1 species